GUGAGAGCCUGGUGCUGGAAGCUUGGUGACCUGGCCCAGUCUCCUGAACCACUCCAGCUGUGCUGCAGCCCAGGGACUGGAGGUCCCUGGGAAGAUGCAUGGUGUGGGCCUGAAGGUGAAGUCCUGCGGCCGGGCCUGGGGGGGCGGCUGUGAAUGCAGGAGGUGAUGCCGGGGUCCGGGCGAGGUACGCCUUGUUGGAAUUGACAUUUCACUGGCAGAAAACAUGAAGAUAUCUGUCCCUCUACUCACAACAUGGAUGUUCCAAAUAUUAAGAGAAAUGAUUAUUAAGACAUCCUGUAGUAAUAAGAGAAAAAGGCCCCACAACACAGGGCUUAUUCAUCAUUUCUUCAAUGAGACAUCGUGCAAAAAGCUGAAGGAAACAUUGGGUUCUAGGGAAGAAGUGGAUAUAAAAUAUCACUCAGUCCAUGAAGUGGCCUGGAUCCUAAAGAUUAGACAUGGUUGCAGUGUGGUAAGAAACAUCAUUUUUUCAUCCACAUGGAGCAAAUAUUUCAUGUUCCCGAAUUCUCCAUCUAACAUCAGCAACAUAAAGAAUUAGAACAUGGACUCAGCAGCUGCCACAGUGGGAGGACAUGGACCCCUGGCCAUUGUGCACUGGCGGAAAGUCCAGUGGCUCCUCUUCUCUAGGAGAGUAUUAUAGGAUAUGUUAUCCAUAAUUGCGGGAAGGGGCCAAAGUUCAUAUCAAAUAUUCCGAUUCGUACCAGAAAAAUCACACUGGUCCCUGAGGAAUAAGAUUUACACUGAACUACCUAUUAACUGUAGUGAAGAAUCUGUGCUCAUAGUAGCUUCCGUUUUAAAGUAUUCUACUGAAGAUGCCAUGUACAAAUUACAUCCUGCUAAAACAGCUCAUCUCUGUGCUAUUAAAAUGAAAACCUCUAUGAGGAAUCACUUAGACACCUAUACCUUAUCUGUCCGCGUAGCCCCUCAUGUGCUGUGGGAUCCAACUUGCUGAACUCAUAAUUUGGGAGUGAUCCAGGAAUUGGGAAUGUCUCCGAAAGGUCACUGAAUUAAAGGACAAACUAGGAUUGCAUUCUUCUGGAGUUGGAGUGUCUGUUAUAUAAUAUAAUUUGUGUUCUUUUAGCACUCGCUCUUACUUCUGCAAAAUAGAAUCAUGUAUGUUUGAAUUAUUUCAGGUACAGUAUAAUGUACCUCAGUCUUUUUUCAGUAGCUCUUAAUUUUCCUAUGAAGCUGCAUGCAUUGAUAUUUUUAUUACUUUCAUUAUUUACUUUAUAUCCUGAUUGCAGUACCCUCCUCUAAGUCCCAUCCUCAAAACCCCUUCUUCUGUCAGUUUAAUUUUAAUUUAAAACUUUACUUAAUUUAUAUUUAAUUUUUAAUUUUGGGUGGAAGUUUCCAGGGGAAAGAGUAGAUGUGGUCAGACUAGAAAAGGAGUGUUACUGGGUGGCAUGAUGAGAAAUUCACAGAGAAUCAAUAAAUACCAUAUGUUUUGAAAAGGAAAAAAGUUAGACAACCCAAAAAAGACAGUAACAAAAGAAGAAAAGAAAGCUAGGGUUCUCUUUAACAACUAGCUUCCAGAAAUAAGGUCCACAGGAAGAAAGUCAUACUAGUAUUACUCAGAAAAGAGUAAGAUAGGCCAAGAAAUAGGUUCCUCAAUUUAGAAAGUGUCUUAAUUUAUUACUGUUGCUAUGAUAAAACACGGAUGAAAAGCAACCUACAGAGGACAGGUUAACACUUCACAAUAUACUCCUUGUUAUAGUUAACUACUGAGGAAUGUCAGGGCCCAAACUGAAGAGGAAAGAACUGAAGCAGAGCCUGUGUAGGAGUGCUGCCUCAUGACCAGCACCCCAUACCUUUCUUUAUCUCAAUAUAACUCAAGGGUGGCACCAUCCUGCAGAUCUUGUCCUUACAAACUCCAUUGUUAAUCAGGACAAUAUUCCAUAGCCUUCCCUAGACAAUCGGCCAAUCUGGUGUUGCAGUUUCUCAACUAAAAUUCCUCUUCUCACCAACUUGUCUUAGUCAUUUUUCUAUUGCUUUAAUAAAGCACCGAGAUUAAAGCAGCUCAUAGAAUGAAAUACUUAUUUGGGAAUUAGAUAUCCAGAGAGAUUAAUGUCCUUCAAAGUCAUGACAGAGGAGCAUAGCUGCAGGAAGGUAGGACAACCAACAGGAAGCAGAGAGCUGGUGGCUCUCAUCUUAGGCAGCAAACACGAAGCACAGAGAGUACACUGCAAAUGGCACCUGCCUUCUGUGACCUUAAAUUCUAAUCAAUGACAAACCUCCUAUGAGGAAGCCAAGCCACUUCAAAUACCCAAAAGUUGUCACAAAGAUGGUGUCAUAUAUUGGUGGUUACACGGCCAUCCCAUUCAAAGCAUCAAAAUAAAACUUCGCCUCUUUCCCCAAACCCCUGCAAAAAAAUAACCAAUUCAAGAAACCUUGGAAGUCAUUGCUGUGAUUCACCAGUCAUUAUGGCAGCAUAUCAGUUCUGAAAUGUUACAUUGCUUUAGUAGUUUCCCCAUUCUUUGCAAUAUAUAUGAAAUUUUAACUAGUUAGUUGCAAAGAACUUAGAGUCUCCAUUUCAGACAUAGACUUCAUUUCACAGUUUCAUAUCUGCUUGUAGUUACUGCUACUUUCCUUAUCAUUUUGGACAUCAAUUUUUUAAAGUAUGUGAAAUGACAAGACAAUCUUUUUUUGGCAUUGUGGUGUUACAGAUAUCUAUCAUACAUAUCAUGAUUGACAACUGUGUAGAUAUAUUUGGAUAGAAUAACAAUAUGAUUGUGACCAUAACCAAAAGAGGUCAGAUGACAUAAAGACAUCAGUAAAAACUGCUGCAGGGAAAAAUGAAACAACUUCAACAUAUAUCUUUUCACAAUGGAAAUUUCCUCAUGACUGAAGAAGUUGCUGGUCAUUUUAUUUCAAUGUUCCCUUCUACCUCCCUCUUAACCACAGCAGAAGAGAUUAUUACGAGAAACAACUUCAGUUUUAUAUUUAACCAUAUUGUUACAUAGUUUCACUCACUAUAUUUAUUUUAUGUUGUGUAUUACACAUUCUUAUCUAUUAAUAUUAAUAAAUGGUAUUAAAUUAUGUUA